GAGUUUGAUCAUGGCUCAGGAUGAACGCUGGCGGCGUGCCUAACACAUGCAAGUCGAACGAAGCGCCUGGCCCCGACUUCUUCGGAACGAGGAGCCUUGCGACUGAGUGGCGGACGGGUGAGUAACGCGUGGGCAACCUGCCUUGCACUGGGGGAUAACAGCCAGAAAUGGCUGCUAAUACCGCAUAAGACCGAAGCGCCGCAUGGCGCGGCGGCCAAACGCCCCGGCGGUGCAAGAUGGGCCCCGCGUCUGAUUAGGUAGUUGGCGGGUAACGGCCCACCAAGCCGACGAUCAGUAGCCGACCUGAGAGGAAGGUCCCCCACAUUGGAACUGAGACACGGUCCAAACUCCUACGGGA
rnacentral:rRNA from 1 species